AUACGGGGGGUGCAAGCGUUGUUCGGAAUCAUUGGGCGUAAAGAGCGUGUAGGCGGCUUGGUAAGUCAGAUGUGAAAGCCCUGGGCUCAACCCGGGAAGUGCAUUUGAAACUGUCAGGCUAGAGUAGGGGAGAGGGAAGUGGAAUUCCUGGUGUAGAGGUGAAAUUCGUAGAUAUCAGGAGGAACACCGGUGGCGAAGGCGACUUCCUGGCCCUAUACUGACGCUGAGACGCGAGAGCGUGGGUAGCAAACAGGAUUAGAUACCCUGGUAGUCCACGCCGUAAACGAUGUUCACUAGGUGUUGGGGGUAUUGACCCCCUCAGUGCCGCAGCUAACGCAUUAAGUGAACCGCCUGGGGAGUACGGUCGCAAGACUAAA
rnacentral:rRNA from 1 species